CUGUCUAACACUUCAGAAAUAGGAAUACCAUAGAGUCAGACAAUCUCCUUGAUGUAUAACUGAGCCAACUUACUAGUUGAGUCAAUAAGCUUAAUAGUAAGAAAAUGGGCGAACUUGAUCAGUUCGUCCAUGAUGAGCCAUAUGGCAUCAUGAUUAAAGCUGGCUCUAGAGAAACUAGUGAUGAAAUCCAUAGUUCGUGCUCUU
rnacentral:lncRNA from 1 species